rnacentral:rRNA from 1 species
GACGUAGGAUGCCAGCGUUGUCCGGAUUUAUUGGGCGUAAAGAGCGUGUAGGCGGCCAGGUAGGUCCGCUGUGAAAACUCGAGGCUUAACCUCGAGCUGUCGGUGGAAACCAUCUGGCUAGAGUCCGGAAGAGGAGAACGGAAUUCCCGGUGUAGCGGUGAAAUGCGCAGAUAUCGGGAAGAACACCCGUGGCGAAGGCGGUUCUCUGGGACGGUACUGACGCUGAGACGCGAAAGCGUGGGGAGCGAACAGG